CACGUAGGGGGCAAGCGUUGUCCGGAUUUAUUGGGCGUAAAGAGCUCGUAGGUGGUUCGGUAAGUCGGGUGUUAAACCCCCAGGCUCAACCUGGGGACGCCACUCGAUACUGCUGUGACUAGAGUCCGGUAGGGGAGCGUGGAAUUCCUGGUGUAGCGGUGAAAUGCGCAGAUAUCAGGAGGAACACCAGCGGCGAAGGCGGCGCUCUGGGCAGUAACUGACGCUGAGGAGCGAAAGCGUGGGGAGCGAACAGG
rnacentral:rRNA from 1 species